rnacentral:rRNA from 1 species
AUUGAACGCUGGCGGCAGGCCUAACACAUGCAAGUCGAGCGGAUGAAGGGAGCUUGCUCCUGGAUUCAGCGGCGGACGGGUGAGUAAUGCCUAGGAAUCUGCCUGGUAGUGGGGGAUAACGUCCGGAAACGGGCGCUAAUACCGCAUACGUCCUGAGGGAGGAAGUGGGGGAUCUUCGGACCUCACGCUAUCAGAUGAGCCUAGGUCGGAUUAGCUAGUUGGUGGGGUAAAGGCCUACCAAGGCGACGAUCCGUAACUGGUCUGAGAGGAUGAUCAGUCACUGGGGCUGAGAGACGCGCUAGACUCCUACGGGAGGCAGCAGUGGGGAAUAUUGGACAAUGGGCGAAAGCCUGAUCCAGCCAUGCCGCGUGUGUGAAGAAGGUCUUCGGAUUGUAAAGCACUUUAAGUUGGGAGGAAGGGCAGUAAGUUAAUACCUUGCUGUUUUGACGUUACCAACAGAAUAAGCACCGGCUAACUUCGUG